CCAGACUCCUACGGGAGGCAGCAGUAGGGAAUCUUCGGCAAUGGACGAAAGUCUGACCGAGCAACGCCGCGUGAGUGAAGAAGGUUUUCGGAUCGUAAGACUCUGUUGGUAGAGAAGAACGUUGGUGAGAGUGGAAAGCUCAUCAAGUGACGGUAACUACCCAGAAAGGGACGGCUAACUACGUGCCAGCAGCCGCGGUAAUACGUAGGUCCCGAGCGUUGUCCGGAUUUAUUGGGCGUAAAGCGAGCGCAGGUGGUUUAUUAAGUCUGGUGUAAAAGGCAGUGGCUCAACCAUUGUAUGCAUUGGAAACUGGUAGACUUGGGUGCAGGAGAGGAGAGUGGAAUUCCAUGUGUAGCGGUGAAGUGCGUAGAUAUAUGGAGGAACACCGGUGGCGAAAGCGGCUCUCUGGCCUGUAACUGACACUGAGGCUCGAAAGCGUGGGGAGCAAACAGGAUUAGAUACCCUGGUGGUCCACGCCGUAAACGAUGAGUGCUAGAUGUAGGGAGCUAUAAGUUCUCUGUAUCGCAGCUAACGCAAUAAGCACUCCGCCUGGGGAGUACGACCGCAAGGUUGAAACUCAAAGGAAUUGACGGGGGCCCGCACAAG
rnacentral:rRNA from 1 species